rnacentral:rRNA from 1 species
UACGAAGGGGGCUAGCGUUGCUCGGAAUCACUGGGCGUAAAGGGUGCGUAGGUGGUGAGGUAAGUCUGAUGUGAAAUCUCCGAGCUUAACUCGGAAAUGGCAUUGGAAACUACCUCGCUCGAGGAUUGGAGGGGGGACUGGAAUUCUCGGUGUAGCAGUGAAAUGCGUAGAUAUCGAGAGGAACACCAGUGGCGAAGGCGAGUCCCUGGACAAUACCUGACACUGAGGCACGAAAGCUAGGGGAGCAAACAGG